ensembl:lncRNA
AGUAAACUCAAAUAACGGUAUGUAGCUAGCUAGUUAAUCAUUUUUAUUGAUUUGAUAACUAAAAUAGUUUAUCAAAAGAUAGGUAUUUUCUCACCUGAAGCUUUCAGCGAACAUGUACUGUUUACUUCCGCUAACGAAGUUAACCGAGAACGGCUAACGUUACGUUAGCUUUAUUGAACUACCAAGGCGGGAAUGUCGCUAAAACAAUGAUGUGCUUGUUUUUCCUCUUUUUUCAACAUACAGCGGUUCGUAAACUUUUCUGUUUUAAACGCAUGUAUCGUUUUGCUUUGGGCAAUUUUCCAAGCAUAAUCGCUAGUCAAAUGUAAAGCACCAGGGCCCAGUGUGCAGGCUAGCUUGCUGGCUAUAGCCACCUCUAUGAAUUAUAUAUUGAAGGAUGCUCUAGCAAAGGCGGUGGAGUGGGUGGUAACGUUACCCCCCUCCCCGCCAACCCAAGGCCAUAUAAAACAGGGAUUGCUGUGUUUGGGAACAACUUCACGUGCGGUAAAAUCGGUGCAUUCAAGAAGCCUCUGAUACAGAUGGUGAGAAGGAAGCCCCAUCAGUCAGCCAACCCACCUACACUACAUAGGAACCCUGGCUUCAUCAGUCUACAUAUCAACCACCAAUGCCUUGUUGGGUGAUGCAACAUUAAGUAUGUUGUAUGGCGGGUAAUGGGACGUUUUUUGAGUGAGGUUUUUAUUGCUGCUGUGUGGAGGGAUCCAGUGCUAUCAAUGGCCUCUGAGAGUGAUGUGGAGGCAAAAAUGAAAAGGUGGCUGCAGCUGACCAGGAUUGAGGUGGAGGUUGAGAUGGCGCCGUAAGGAUCCACAACUGUUUGAGCACAGCGCACAACUGUCAACAGCAAAAAGAAGCAGAGGAGGGCGAGGAAGAAGAGAGCAAAUCCAAGGUCCACAUCCACCUCUAGCUUUGAUAGAGGUCGACCAGGCUGGUCCAUGUGGCUGUUUAUGACGAGGGUCAGUAGUAGCUUGAAAGAUGCUUGUGUUUUUGAAGUACAGGUUCCAGGGAUUUGACUCCGUAUGCAAAUAUUUGUUCUGGAUAAACAGGAUAAAUAAAAACAGAGUUUGUAGCUUUUCCUAUGGUUGCUCUUCCGACUGUAUGCUGAGCUAAAUUGUAAUCCUGGUAAGUUGUAAUCCUUGAAUGUAUUUAAUAUCUCAUUAUAUCACAAUGUAAUACAAUGAUUUGCCUGGUAAGUUGUAAUCCUUGAAUGUAUUUAAUAUCUCAUAAUAUCACAAUGUAAUACAAUGAUUUGCCUGGUAAGUUGUAAUCCUUUAAUGUAUUUAAUAUCUCAUUAUAUCACAAUGUAAUACAAUGAUUUGCCUGGUAAGUUGUAAUCCUUUAAUGUAUUUAAUAUCUCAUAAUAUCACAAUGUAAUACAAUGAUUUGACAUCCAAGGUAAAUUUUAUAAGGUAAAUCACAUGCUGCACAAGUGAACAACAACAAUGGCCCCCAACCCAGUAUUGUUUCUUUGGGAGAGGAAACAUCAUAAUCAUCAUCAAUCAUUAAGCCUUAUCAUAAUGAAGCACGCAUUCCCUUGUUCAUGGGGGUUGUCAGGUAGCCUUGCAGUUAAAGUGUCUGACCAGUAACCCAAAGGUUUCUUAAUCGAAUGCCUAAACUGGCAAGGGGGAAAACCGACAUCAACGCUUAUUUCUCCCCAGGCAGCCAUUGUGGCAGGUCCUCUCCAAUUUGUUGGGGUUGGGUUUAAAGUGGACAAGGUAAGACCUUGUGUGUAAGAAAUGAC